UUCUUAUCCAGAGAGGUGGAGGGACUGGCCCUUUGAAACCUCGGCAACAGGCUUACUCUUAAGCACUGUGCCAAUUCCUGUAGCAUGUAUGCUGCAAAGAUAAGAA
rnacentral:ncRNA from 2 species